ACGUUUUUCACGAGUUUAAAGCUGUGUGACACCAUUUUUUUCUCCAUAUUGACGGAUCAAAUCGGACAUCAAUAAAUCAAUCUGCGAUAUGGAUAGUGCAAGUUCAACAGCCAGUGAAAGUGAAACUUCACCUAAUAUUUCAUCAUUUCUCAGGAAAAGGAAAGCAGCUACCAAAACAUGAUAUCGAUGUUUUUGUUGUGGUACAACAUCUUGGAAAAAUCCAGAGAGAAGAUUCUUCGGAUUCCCUAAGGAUCCUGUGAGGUCAAAACAGUGGGCUGCCUGCACUAAAGAUCUGCUCAGCAAAUCUGCAGAUGAAUUAUACAGAAAAGGAAAAGUGUGUUCUAUACACUUCACUGAAAGUGACUUCCGUACAACCAAAUUCCGUUACCUACAUUCCUGUGCUGUACCGAAGAAGUUAGGGCAAACUGGUAAACAUGAUUCUUUA